UUUUCUGCCGUGUUUGGAUACUCUAACUUAGGUAAAGGUUAGAGUUAGUUUCUACACUAGUGGAGACAGGGCCUAUAGCCCCGGCCCGUAAGGGGCUUUAGUCCCGGUUCACCAACCGGAACUAAAGGGGCGGGACUAAAGGCCUAACCUUUAGUCCCGGCCCUGUUCUAAGCCGGGACUAAAGGUGCUCCACGUGGGCGCCUCGUAGCGCCUUCAGGGACAGGCACUUUAGUCCCGGUUCGUUACACGGACCGGGACUAAAGAGUUUUAAUUUUUUUUAUUUUUGGAUUUUAGGGUUUUAGGAUUUAAGUGUUCGGGAGAUUAACGUGAUGCCUCGUUUGGUGUUCGGGAAUUAGUUUUCAUAUAAUUCUAAAUAGAAAUAAUUAUGCAUAUAUAUAUAAGAUUAACUUAUCUCACAAGCGAGCAUAUAUAUACAAUUAUAUGGAGAUCUGAAUUAUCGGGACUACAUCCCGUCUAUUCGAUUACAUGGACGAACAUCAGUAAUGGCCCCUAGCUACACUAAAUCGUCCUUUGUCAUCUAUAGCUUCCGUCCUCAGAAAGGUUGCAAGCUCCUCUGCAACAGCAAUCGCGCGUUGCUCUGGUAGGACCUUCUCCCUCAUGUUGGAUUUAAGUGUUCGGGAGAUUAACGUGAUGCCUCGUUUGGUGUUCGGGAAUUAGUUUUCAUAUAAUUCUAAAUAGAAAUAAUUAUGCAUAUAUAUAUAAGAUUAACUUAUCUCACAAGCGAGCAUAUAUAUACAAUUAUAUGGAGAUCUGAAUUAUCGGGACUACAUCCCGUCUAUUCGAUUACAUGGACGAACAUCAGUAAUGGCCCCUAGCUACACUAAAUCGUCCUUUGUCAUCUAUAGCUUCCGUCCUCAGAAAGGUUGCAAGCUCCUCUGCAACAGCAAUCGCGCGUUGCUCUGGUAGGACCUUCUCCCUCAUGUUCGUGUACUAUAUAAGAAGAGGACCUUCUCCCUCAUGGUCGUGUACUAUAUAAGAAGAGGAGAUGAAUAUGAAUAUCAAUCAUGAUAACAAAGAAUAACGGGUAAAAAUAGAUGUGUGAAUGUUCAUUGCUUACGUUGAAUCUGUGAUCCGUGUGCUCAGAGGUAAACGUGCGAAUGGUCUCGCAAACAUAGUAUCCGCAUAGAUGCGUCCCCUGUGGCUGUUGGUCGCACUUUACGAGAAUAGAAUAUAUAUAAUCAAAAUAAUAAUAUAGCAUCAUAAAUGUAUUGAAAAUAGAAGUAUAUCAUACUACUACUUACGUGAGCCGCUCUAAAGGUCAGCUUCUCAGGCUCGAUACCGGGAGUCACGCACUUGAACCGCUUCCAAACCCUGCCCGACAAGGAUAAUGAUUUGCUAAGUUUUUCAUUAACAAAGAAUAACGGGUAAAAAUAGAUGUGUGAAUGUUCAUUGCUUACGUUGAAUCUGUGAUCCGUGUGCUCAGAGGUAAACGUGCGAAUGGUCUCGCAAACAUAGUAUCCGCAUAGAUGCGUCCCCUGUGGCUGUUGGUCGCACUUUACGAGAAUAGAAUAUAUAUAAUCAAAAUAAUAAUAUAGCAUCAUAAAUGUAUUGAAAAUAGAAGUAUAUCAUACUACUACUUACGUGAGCCGCUCUAAAGGUCAGCUUCUCAGGCUCGAUACCGGGAGUCACGCACUUGAACCGCUUCCAAACCCUGCCCGACAAGGAUAAUGAUUUGCUAAGUUUUUCAUUAAUUGAUAUAUCAGGAAAUCAUCGAAAGAGACCGAUAGAGCGCAAGAAUGAUUGAAAUUACCCUUGGAGCAUGUCCUGCAGGCUUUGGAACUGUUCCAAGGGUCUCGAUAAUGGGUCGAAGGCAUCAACUCUUCCCUUAUCAAUUUGAAUAUCCAACAGAAUCCAAUGGAAGCUGCACAUGUAUAUAUAUAUAUGUGUGUCAGUAACUUAUCAAUUACACUUAUAAGUCAAUGGACACAACAGAGUAAAGACCCUCACCUGAAGUUGUAUGGAAACAGUAUGUGGUCACAGAAAUUUUGAUCUGUUAGAAACCUUAGAAGGUUUUCCUCCGUCUCCUUGGGUUUAUCAGUUAGCGUCGCUAUAUGUAUUUUAUCUGGGUCAAUAAACCCAAUAUUUAGGAUGUUCUUACUUUUACAAUCCAGAAUCUUCAUUCUGCAUAAUAGAGUACAAGUUAUAUAUAGACAAUGUAUUGAAAUAACUAAACAAGUUAUAUGUAGACAACGAAUUGAAAAACUUACAGACAAUAGCAACUCAUAAGCGAUUUGUCGAGGGCGUCGCCAUUGUACAUAUGGAAGAGUUCAUCAAAGUCGAUAUGGAUUUCUUCGGGGCGGCCGUAGUACUCCCGUGGGACACUCACCACGAUCAUCGUUCUCCCAUUCUUUGAUUCACUUAAGUACCAUGUAUGCAAGUAACGCAUAUUUGUUGGGAGAUCAUCUUUGCUGACCAAAGGCUCUCCCAUGACAAACUGUGGCUUAGGGGCUACCACAGCCUUGGGUAACCUGUCGUCUUGGGAAGCCAGAACAUCUUCAACCGAGACACCCCAUUCAGCCGCCCACUUCUUUGCUAAUUCAAAAUCUUGCCCCUGCACCGGAGGGGGAACAUUCUUGGUUAACACCUUGAGGGGUGGGAUCGACUGUUUGGCAUGUUGUCCAAGCUGAGGAACGUGUGAUUUUUUCUUGCUUGUAUUUGAACUUGAUUUGCUCCCACUUGCACUUGCAUGUGAUCUGCUCUUUUUCACUUCCUUCUGCAAUGUGCGUGUAUAGUCAUCAGGCUUAUGGUGUAAGUCAUACUGUGAUGGAAGGGUCGUGAAGUAUUUCGCAAAUGCUAAUUGCUUCUCGGUGUAUUCCGGGCGGGGCUCGGGUUCCUUCUUUUUCAUCUACGCAUCAUGAUGUUCCUUUGCUAUCCUGGCGUUUUCUCGGGGGUACGAUCAUAAGGUCUGAUUGGAAGAUUAGCAUGAGGUACCUUUGGGAGGGGCGACCGUUUGCGCUUUGGGGGGCUCCGUCGCCUAGAAAUCGUCGGCGGAGCGUUCUUGGUGGCACGCUCCCGCUUAGUAUCCGGAGCGGGCGGCGGCGGAGACGGACGACCCAAGUCCGGCGGCGGUGAUCGAGAUGGCCUCGUGUUGUGCUCGCCGACGUCAUGUGGAGGGCUUGGAGGUAAUGGAGGUGUAGGUGACCUGCGACGACUCGGAGGCGGUGUUGUCCUUGGGGCCGAGCCUGGAAGCUUGAUGUAGUUCUUGUCCCAUAGGAUGACUCCACCCAGUACUUCUCCGAGUGUCCUCUCAUCUUCGGGUCCAGCUAUGUCGAGCUCCAUAUCAUGAAACCCCGUCAUGAUUUCAUCCACCCCGACUUUAGCAAAGCCAGCUGGAAUCUCACGGCCAUGCCAGCGUGCAUCAGGGCCAGAAGGUAAAGCUUAUCCGACGGCCACCUUCUUGAAUUUCUUGUCCAAGCCACCACGGGUAAGAAGGACCGAAGCCUCGUGUUCGUCCUCCAUGUUCGUCAUUGCUGAGGACCAGUGUGAGCAAAUCUUUCUCUCUAUCUGCAGUGAACUUUCUUUUUCCCUCCUUAAUUUCUUUCACUAUCCUUUUCCGAUUCUCCCUGGGUAUCCUAAGACCGUCACUGCAGAUGAGGUCCCCUGUUUCUUCGUCGUACGAACCACCAUGCGCAAGGAACCAAUUUCUUGCUCUCAAUUCCCACUCAUCACGGAGUGGUUCAGGUACGAUGCCUUUAGCUAGCAGAUCUUGCUCUUUCUUAUCCCACUUUGGGAUGGCAGUCUCAUAGCCCCCUGGCCCCAGCUUGUGGUGAUAUUUCUUCUUGUCGGCAUUUAUCUUGUUCUUUUCUGAUAAUUCCUGGGCAUCUUCUGACUCCUUGUACUCUUGAAAUGCCUUCCAAUGAUUCGCCUGCUUGGCUAGAUACCCCUUGAAUACUGGCACUUUCUUUGUCUUCAUAUAGUUUUUCCAUAGCUUCUUCUUCCAGCUACGAAACAGUUCGGCUAUCUUCUUUAGAGUCCAAUGCUUGACUUUGGCCCUUAGUUUGUCUGCGGUGUCUUCAUUCUCAUAUUCUGGCAGGUUGAAAUGUGACAUGAGAUAAUUCCAAAGAUUAUCUUUGUACCUUUUGGCGACAUAGUCACUAUCGGCUGCCCCUUUGUGCUUGUUCCACUCCCGAACGCUGAUCGGGACGUGAGCCCUAACGAGAACUCCACAUUGCUUCUUGAAUGUGUCAGCAGCAUUCUUAGGAAGCUUGGGUUCGCCCGUAGGCAAUAUCACCUCAAAGGCGUCCGUGCAUCCAACUUUCUAGUCGGGCCUCGUUUCGUAGCUUUGCUCGAUGUGGAGGCCUAAGAGGGAGAAACAUUCGUCAAAUGAAUGUAUAUGUAUACAAUAUAGAGCUAUCUCCAAUAUUUUUCACAUAUUACAAGUGAUUGUCGAACUUCAUAUGUAUACCUCACCGGACUUUAUUAUUUCUCCACCGGCUUCUCCAUCAGUGGAGCUAUCACCUUCUCCGUCAUUGGACCUAUCUCUUGCCCCAUCGGCUUCAUCUUCGUGUCGGUCGACCUCCAUUCCAUAUCCGGAGGGGUUUAGAUAUGACGACGGAGAUUCAGCUGGUUCAUCGUCAGGGCCGUCUUUGAUUAUAUAUUCGAGAAGUUCUUCCUCUUCGAGGUUCCUGAUAUGUGGAUCCAUAGUUCUGCAAAAAACGGAUUGCGACGCUCCCUAGUGGUGGCUAACAAACUAUAUAAGAGGGGUUGGAAACUUCGAAGUGUCGUUUUAUAUAGGAGGACCUUUAGUCCCGGGUCUUGGCUAGAACCUAAACUCUAAAAUAUGUCUAACAGGUUCUCUUAACCUUUAAGGAUUUAACAAAAUGGCGACAUUCUAGAUGUGUAGAAAAUGAUCCUAUUUUUCCUGAUCUCAUCUACCCUUCUAUAUGUCACAUUGUCUAGUGUCAAAGGACUUUGUUGAACUUUGUACCAAAAAAUAAUUAUUCUAUCAGGAACUCCGUUCCAAAACAACUUUAGUCCCGGGUCGUGGCUCCACCCAGGACUCCUAGAUUUCUGCAUAGUAUUCAAAGUAGGAGUACUUUUCCAAUUUAAGCAUUCAAUAAGCAAAACCAAAUCGUAAAAUAAAGUAGUAUUCAAAUUAGCAUGCAUUCAAUUAUAAGCAAAACUACAUCAUCUCUUUUGUCCGUACAUCGUCGAAUAUUAUCACUAAUACUCCUCGAAUACUAUCAUACAUAUAGCAUCACUGAUACAGCUAGAACCGUAGCGCCCGACGGGUAUCGUCGCGGGCGGUGGACACCCAAAGAGAAGGAACCAUCACAGGAUCAUAGCUCCAGUGAGAUCCGUGAAGAACCUGCCAGGUAUGCUCGAACCUGCCCUCCAACGCAACCAUGUAGCGACGGACGUGCUCAUCCUCCUCUCUGACACGGUGACGUACCACCUCUGCGGUGUCCGGAAGCCUCGGCACCGUCACUGGCCCACGCGACCGCCACCAAACAAGGAUCGGGUCAACAACGGGCUGGCUCCUCACCAACCUACGCCCCUCGGAAGGUAGCACCUCCCAAUACCAGCCGGGCGGAGCCCAAUCCCGGACAUGGCCCCUCUGAUCAAGCACGUGUCCUCCGCCAAGUCGACGACGAGGAUGCUGGAUAGGCAUCUAAAAUGAACUAAAAAAAUAAACUAGUUCUAUUAAUUUUCUUGCUAAAAAUAAAAUAAUUGUAUAUAUAGUAAAAUAAACUAUUAACACUUAAGCAUAUACAAUAGCAAAAUUAAGCAAUAAUCUAAGAAACACUAAUUAAGCAUCUAUAUACGUAGAAAUGUCUUCUUCUUGUUCUUCUUCUUUCUUAUUUUCUUCUCCGCUUCUUCUUCAACUUCUCUUCUUCUACUUCUCUUCUUCUACUUCUCCUCUUCUUCUAUUUUUCGUCUUCUUCUCCUCUCCUCCUCUUCUUAUUCUCCUUUUUCUUCUUUUCUUCUCCUCCUCUUCUUAUUUUCCUUUUUCCUAAUCUUAUUUUCUUAUUUUUGUUCAUCUUUCUUCUUCUUGUAACCCUAACCUAAUUCUAAAUAUUACGAACCCUAAUAAUCUAGCACAAACCUAAUAACAAUAGGAAUUAAAUAACAAAAAAAAUCAUUUCUUCUCCUUUUUCUUCUUUUCUUCUCCUUUCCCUUCUUUUCUUCUCCUUUUUCUUCUUUUCUUCUACCGGCCGGAGUGUUGGGGAGGAGGGGGCUAGGGGCUUACCGGCCGGAGUGGGAGGGGAGGGCAUCGACGACGGCGAGGAGGACGGCAGGCGGCAGCGAGGAGGACGGCGGCGGCGAGGAGGACCACGGCGAAGGCGAGGAGGACGGCGGGCAGCCUGGCGGCGUCGAGUUCGUCGGUGCCGCGCCGGGCAGGAGAGUCUGAGGAAGAAGAACGAAAUGGCGAUUUGGGUUGGAAAUUUCCAACUCCCGCUUAUAUAGUAGGAUCUUUGGUCCCGGUUCGGGGCUCGAACCGGGACUAAAGACCACCUUUAGUCCCGGGUGGAGCCANNNNNNNNNNNNNNNNNNNNNNNNNNNNNNNNNNNNNNNNNNNNNNNNNNNNNNNNNNNNNNNNNNNNNNNNNNNNNNNNNNNNNNNNNNNNNNNNNNNNNNNNNNNNNNNNNNNNNNNNNNNNNNNNNNNNNNNNNNNNNNNNNNNNNNNNNNNNNNNNNNNNNNNNNNNNNNNNNNNNNNNNNNNNNNNNNNNNNNNNNNNNNNNNNNNNNNNNNNNNNNNNNNNNNNNNNNNNNNNNNNNNNNNNNNNNNNNNNNNNNNNNNNNNNNNNNNNNNNNNNNNNNNNNNNNNNNNNNNNNNNNNNNNNNNNNNNNNNNNNNNNNNNNNNNNNNNNNNNNNNNNNNNNNNNNNNNNNNNNNNNNNNNNNNNNNNNNNNNNNNNNNNNNNNNNNNNNNNNNNNNNNNNNNNNNNNNNNNNNNNNNNNNNNNNNNNNNNNNNNNNNNNNNNNNNNNNNNNNNNNNNNNNNNNNNNNNNNNNNNNNNNNNNNNNNNNNNNNNNNNNNNNNNNNNNNNNNNNNNNNNNNNNNNNNNNNNNNNNNNNNNNNNNNNNNNNNNNNNNNNNNNNNNNNNNNNNNNNNNNNNNNNNNNNNNNNNNNNNNNNNNNNNNNNNNNNNNNNNNNNNNNNNNNNNNNNNNNNNNNNNNNNNNNNNNNNNNNNNNNNNNNNNNNNNNNNNNNNNNNNNNNNNNNNNNNNNNNNNNNNNNNNNNNNNNNNNNNNNNNNNNNNNNNNNNNNNNNNNNNNNNNNNNNNNNNNNNNNNNNNNNNNNNNNNNNNNNNNNNNNNNNNNNNNNNNNNNNNNNNNNNNNNNNNNNNNNNNNNNNNNNNNNNNNNNNNNNNNNNNNNNNNNNNNNNNNNNNNNNNNNNNNNNNNNNNNNNNNNNNNNNNNNNNNNNNNNNNNNNNNNNNNNNNNNNNNNNNNNNNNNNNNNNNNNNNNNNNNNNNNNNNNNNNNNNNNNNNNNNNNNNNNNNNNNNNNNNNNNNNNNNNNNNNNNNNNNNNNNNNNNNNNNNNNNNNNNNNNNNNNNNNNNNNNNNNNNNNNNNNNNNNNNNNNNNNNNNNNNNNNNNNNNNNNNNNNNNNNNNNNNNNNNNNNNNNNNNNNNNNNNNNNNNNNNNNNNNNNNNNNNNNNNNNNNNNNNNNNNNNNNNNNNNNNNNNNNNNNNNNNNNNNNNNNNNNNNNNNNNNNNNNNNNNNNNNNNNNNNNNNNNNNNNNNNNNNNNNNNNNNNNNNNNNNNNNNNNNNNNNNNNNNNNNNNNNNNNNNNNNNNNNNNNNNNNNNNNNNNNNNNNNNNNNNNNNNNNNNNNNNNNNNNNNNNNNNNNNNNNNNNNNNNNNNNNNNNNNNNNNNNNNNNNNNNNNNNNNNNNNNNNNNNNNNNNNNNNNNNNNNNNNNNNNNNNNNNNNNNNNNNNNNNNNNNNNNNNNNNNNNNNNNNNNNNNNNNNNNNNNNNNNNNNNNNNNNNNNNNNNNNNNNNNNNNNNNNNNNNNNNNNNNNNNNNNNNNNNNNNNNNNNNNNNNNNNNNNNNNNNNNNNNNNNNNNNNNNNNNNNNNNNNNNNNNNNNNNNNNNNNNNNNNNNNNNNNNNNNNNNNNNNNNNNNNNNNNNNNNNNNNNNNNNNNNNNNNNNNNNNNNNNNNNNNNNNNNNNNNNNNNNNNNNNNNNNNNNNNNNNNNNNNNNNNNNNNNNNNNNNNNNNNNNNNNNNNNNNNNNNNNNNNNNNNNNNNNNNNNNNNNNNNNNNNNNNNNNNNNNNNNNNNNNNNNNNNNNNNNNNNNNNNNNNNNNNNNNNNNNNNNNNNNNNNNNNNNNNNNNNNNNNNNNNNNNNNNNNNNNNNNNNNNNNNNNNNNNNNNNNNNNNNNNNNNNNNNNNNNNNNNNNNNNNNNNNNNNNNNNNNNNNNNNNNNNNNNNNNNNNNNNNNNNNNNNNNNNNNNNNNNNNNNNNNNNNNNNNNNNNCCGCAUAGCAUGUGUUAAAAAGUUGAGAGGGCUACGACAAAAACUGGAUGCAUUUCGUGUACAAAACGGACAAUCUCUCUCGAAGUAUGAGGGUUUCGAACGAGAACUCAUCUCUUACAAAGGGAUUUCAUUUUUUUGAACUUAUUUAAACUCCAUACUUUUUGUGUGUUUAAAAUGCACCAUUCAAAGGCACAUCACAAAUUUUCAACAAUUUCUGACUUAAUUUGGUAUUUUUCGUGCAUUUACUUUUGUUUUUUUGGGCUAGUUGACCCUAAAAUUGAAAAGCACUACAAAUGAACUCUGAAAAUAUUGAAAGUUGGCAUGCUAUCAUCAUUUCACCCACAUAGCAUGUGUUAAAAAGUUGAGAGGGCUACAACAAAACCGGAUGCACUUCGUGUACAAAACGGACAAUCUCUCUCAAAGUAUCACGGUUUCGAACGAGAACUCAUCUCUUACAAAGGGAUUUCAUUUUUUUGAACUUAUUUGAACUCCAUACUUUUUCUGUGUUCAAAAUGCACCAUUUAAAGGCACAUCAAUUGAAAACUAAAAGGUUUAGUACAUUCCAUACAUGCAUUACAUAAAAGGUUUGAUACAUUAUUACAUUAUUGCACCAAUAUUCCUAUCUAUUAUUUAUGUUUUCUUCUGGGUUGUAGCCAUGGAGAAUCUUCAUCAUUCAGUAGGAUGCUUGGGUCAAUUUUCACUUUGAAGGGCGGAAUUUCAUGAAACUUAUUAUAAUCUUCUGACAUGUCUGUCUUGUCAUCUAAUCCCACGAUGUUUCUUUUCCCUGAAAGAACUAUGUGGCGUUUUGGCUCAUCGGAAGAUAUCUUCUUUUGCUGAUUUCUUUUUCUCGUUUUUGUAGACAUGUCCUUCACAUAGAAAACUUGAGCGACAUCAUUGGCUAGGACAAAUGGUUCGUCCAUGUACGCAAGAUUGUUGAGAUCCACUGUUGUCAUGCCGUACUUUUGGUCUACAACUACCCCGCCUCCUGUCAGCUUCACCAAUUUGCACCGAAACAAAGGGAUCUUAAAAGUAGGUCCAUAGUCAAGUUCCCAUAUCUCCUCUAUGUACCCGUAAUAUGUUUCCAAACAGUGCCCAUUCUCGUCUGUUGCAUCAAAGCGGACACCACUAUUUUGGUUGGUGUUCUUUUUAUCUUGGGCAACCGUGUAAAAUGUAUUCCCAUUUAUCUCAUACCCUUGGAAAGUACAUAUAGUCGAAGAUGGUGGCCUGGCCAAACAGUACAACUCAUCUCCAACGGUGUCGUCAUUCAUGAGAUGUGUCUGCAACCAACUGCCGAAAGUCUUCUCAUGUUCCCUUUAAUCCAAGAGUCAGCCUUCCCCGGGUUUUCGGAGCGUAGAAUAUUCUUGUGUCUCACGAUAUACGGAGCCACCACGAUGGAAUUGUGUAGAACUGCGUAGUGUGCUUGAGAGAAAGAAUGCCCAUCCAUACAUACUUCUGCUUUCCUUCCUAGUGUGCCUUUUCCUGUCAGCCUACCCUCAUAACGAGAUUCAGGAACACCAAUCGGCUUAAGGUCAGGAAGAAAGUCCACACAAAACUCAAUGACCUCCUCUGUUCCAUAGCCCUUGGAGAUGCUUCCUUCUGGCCUAGCACGGUUACGAACAUAUUUCUUUAAGACUCCCAUCAACCUCUCGAAGGGGAACAUAUUGUGUAGAAACACAGGACCGAGAAUUCUAAUCUCUUCGACUAGGUGAACUAGGAGGUGUGUUAUUAUAUUGAAGAAGGAUGGCGGGAACAACAACUCAAAGCUGACCAGACAUUGGAUCACAUCAAUCUAUAACCCUAAUAGACUUUCUCGAUCGAUUACCUUCUGAGAAAUUGCAUUGAGGAAUGCACAUACCUUCACAAUUGCCAGGCGAACAUUUUCCGGUAGAAUUCCCUCAAUGCAACCGGAAGCAAUUGCGUCAUAAGCACGUGGCAGUCAUGAGACUUUAGGUUUUGGAAUUUUUUGUCUUUCAUAUUUACGAUUCCCUUUAUAUUCGACGAGAAGCCAGUCGGGACCUUGAUACUGAAAAGGACUUCAAAGAAGAUUUCCUUCUCUUCCUUAGUAAGAGCGUAGCUGGCACGCCCUUGAAACUGCCCUGGAUGCAUGCCAUCUGUUCCUUUAUGACUUUCCUGGUCCUCCCGUGCUUCCGGUGUAUCUUUUGACUUCCCAUACAAGCCCAGGAAGCCUAGAAUAUUCACGUAGAGAUUCUUCGUCAGGUGCAUCACGUCGAUUGCCGAGCGGACCUCAUGGACUUCCCAGUAGGGUAGCUCCCAAAAUAUAGAUUUCUUCUUCCACAUGGGUACGCGCUUAUCAGGGCCGUUAGGAACAGGUUGGCUGCCAGGACCCUUUCCAAAGAUUACUUUUAAAUCUUUGACCAUAUCAAAUACUUCAGCACUAGUACGGAUGACAGGCUUCCCCCGAGGUUCUGCCUUGCCAUUGAAAUGCUUGCCUUUUUUCUUUAAGGGAUGAUUGGGCGGAAGAAAACGACGAUUGUACGGGUACACAUUCUUCCUACAUUUGUCCAGAUAUAUACUUUCUGUCUGAUCCAAACAGUGCGUGCAUGUAUUGUAUCCCUUGUUUGACUGUCCUGAAAUGUUACUAAGAGCAGGCCAAUCAUUGAUGGUUACGAAAAGCAACGCUCGAAGGUCAAAUUCCUCUUGUUUGUGCUCGUCCCACACACGUACACCUGGUUCGGCCCACAGCUGUAAAAGUUCAUCAACUAAUGGCCUUAGGUACACAUCAAUAUCGUUGCCGGGUUGCUUCGGACCUUGGAUAAGCACUGGCAUCAUAAUGAACUUCCGCUUCAUGCACAACCAAGGAGGAAGGUUGUAGAUACAUAGAGUAACGGGCCAGGUGGUGUGACUGCAACUCUGCUCCCCAAAAGGAUUCAUGCCAUCUGUACUCAAACCUAACCAUAAGUUCCUUGCGUCAGCUGCAAAUCUCGGGAACUCUCUCUUGAUUUUUCUCCACUGCCGACCAUCAGCGGUGUGCCUCAACUUAUCGUCUUUCAUACGAUCUUCCAUGUGCCAUCGCAACAACUUCGCAUGAUCUUUAUUUCUGAACAGACCUUUCAGCCGUGGUAUUAUAGGAGCAUACCACAUCACCUUGGCAGGAACCCUCUUCAUGGGUGGCUCGCCCUCAAUAUCACCAGGGUCAUCUUUUCUGAUCUUAUACCGCAAUGCAGUGCAUACCGGGCAUUUAUCCAUAUUCUCGUACUUCUCACCGCGGUAGAGGAUGCAGUCAUUAGGGCAUGCAUGUAUCUUCUGCACGUCUAAUCCUAGAGGGCAGACAAGCUUCUUUGCUUCGUACGUGCUGGCGGGCAAUUCGUUCUUUCUUGGAAGCAUCUUCUUCAUCAGUACCAGCAUCUUUUCGAAUGACGAGUCAGUCACACCGGUCUCUGCCUUCCACUUCAGCAAUUCCAGUGUGCUACCCAGCUUGUUCUGGCCAUCUUCACAAGUUGGGUACAACAAUUUGUUGUGGUCCUGUAACAUCUGCUCGAACUGCAACCUCUCCUUUUCUGUGUCGCAACCUCGCCGUGCAUCAGAAAUGACCCGGCCAAGAUCAUCAGCGGGCUCAUCUGGUUCCCAUUCUUCAUCCUGAUCUUCUUCUUCAUUGUCUUCCAUUGCGGUAUCAGCAUACUCAGGGAACAUAGAUCGGUAGUUGUCAUCAUCGUUCUCUUCUUCUUCAUCGUCGUCUUCCAUCAUAACCCCUCUUUCUCCGUGCUUGGUCCAAACAUUAUAGCCCGACAUAAAACCGGACCAAAGCAGGUGGCUCUGAAUGACUCCUGAGGAAGUGUAAUCCUUCUCAUUCCGACAUUCAACACAUGGACAAAACAUAUAGCCACCACCAUGCUUGUUCGCAUCGGCUGCAUCUCGAAAAGAAUGCACGCCUUCUCUGUAAGCGGCUGUGCGUCGAUGAUCGUACAUCCAUGGAUGGCUCAUCUGCGUUAUACGACAGUACAUCAAAUACAAUCACGAUCCUAAAAAUUAGUACUGCACGGUCUAAACGAGGAAAUAUAGUUGCUAACCUUUUAGAAUAAGUAGAAAUAAAGAGGAAGAGGUUUAAGCGUGGCUCGGGUAUCUCAUAUCGUAGUUGUGUUCGGUGAACUGAAGCGGCAUCGCUCUAACACACAUUUCAACAAACACCUCUAGUGCAUAAAAAAAUGGAGAGCUAGCACGCACCCACACUCUUCCAUCCAAGAAAAAUGCAAGGAAGAGGGGAGAGGGGGGAUGUGCUAUAUAUAGGCAGAGGACUUUAGUCCCAGUUUGAGACACAAACCGGGACUAAAGGUGGCGCACAUGCGGGCUGCACAUCGCGUAGCCCUUUAGUCCCGGUUUGAGACACAAACCGGGACUAAAGGCUCCAUACGGGCCGGGACCAAAGCCUCGUAGGCGGCAUUGCGAUUUGGGGCGACGUGGCCGGGCCUUUAGUCCCGGUCCAGAGGGAGGCCGGGACUAAAGGGUCCAGGCCAAAGGCCCGUUUUCCACUAGUGCUACCUCAUGAUUAAUCCUAAAUCAAUUCUAAUCAAGAGGUGUUUGGAUGUAGAUUGACAAUAGACGCAUUUGAUGGAGAGAGAAAAAUGAUUUUUUCACUGGACCUCAUCAGAACUGCCUUCAAUUAGCAUCUCUUGGCUAGUGGGAUAGAGAGAGAAAACUGAUUUUUCAGUGGCAUCAUAAGAACUAGCUCCAAUUAACACCUCUAGGGUGGAAUAGUAUUUUAGGAUGGAUUAGAUGCAACUAGUUCUAAUCUAACCCUCAUGUUUGGAUAUUUUAGGGAUAUUUAAGCCCUAACUAGCUUAAACUAACUCUAGCCUAUGGAUCCAAACAAAACCUUUGAAUCGUGGACAUGUUCUGUUGUGUGCACAUAUCGCAAAGUUAACGACACAACGAUGGCAGUCCUGUGGCAGUGGCGCGCAGCGAACCAUGGCUCCGACGUUGUUCAGGCCACAUGACGGUUGCCCACAGGAAACGGCACCACAACAUGUUCUUUCCUCCCCUUCUUAUCCUGAACAAGAAUUUAGAGCCAUAGAUGUCGUCGUCAAGCGGCUAUGUGGUUCCCCUGGCCGGAGAUUGCAGCUCUCCUGUAAAUUCAGAUCACCUCUCGUCUCCUGAACCCACAGAGGUAGGACGGGCGACACAAGUUGUUGGCUGCAUCUCCGAGAGGGAGGCAUGUUGGCGAACAUGUUGGUAUCCUCCAAUCUCUCACAUGAAUAAUUAAGUACAAAGACUGGUUGCUAACUAGCUAGCUCAUUGAAAUGCACCCAGGUAGGAGAUGAAAUCACUCCACUAUAUAGAAGUUUUGCUCCCACAACAACGAAUGACACAAAUAUAAGCAUGGUGUAACAACUCAACUACUCAAGAUACAUACGAGCAUGAUAAAGUCUAAACUGCGUGAGCACAUCACACAAAAACCGUUUUCCACAAAAGCCAUUAUAUAUGAUUCUAUUGAGAAAUUAAUCCCCUUUUUAUGCAGGGUGAAACUAGUCAUCCUCUUCUUUAAUGAAUGAUGGACUUAACUAGAAAGCGGCGCCGCAUAUUAGUCUUUUCAUACGACAAUUCCCUUUCAUCCAUUUUUACUUGCAUGGGACAUUACAUCAUUUAAGUAUUCCCUUUGAUUUUGCAUUUUUUUAAAAUAUCUCCCAAACCUUUGUCUAAAUUAAUGAUUCGUUUUCAUCACUAACUUUAUCGCGACGAGAUCUUUAAAACUAGAUCCUAUGUCGACAUGUUUCGAUAACUUUUGUUUUCGUCGGUACUUGUCAAAUUAUUAUCACUUACUUGUCACAUUAUUUGUCACAUAGUUCUCACAUUAAAUCAACUUGGUUAUCAGGUUUAUGAAUGUCGAUAUACCCCAUUAAAAAACUUGAUUCAUUAUACUUGUGUUGGUUCAUGCAUUUACUUGCUUAUUGUUAGUGCUUUAGUAAUCAUUCUUUAGCUCCACAUAACACUGCAAUACUUAAAAAGUUUAAAAUUAUUAUCCCGGUGACUAUUUAUAAUUUUUGGGACAAUGGUACAUCCAUAAGAUGAUAACUAUGAUGACAUAAAUGUGGCAACUAAGAACGACGAAACAUGUCAACAUGGGAUCUUAUUUUAAAGGUCUCGUCGGGACGAACCUAACGAUGAAGGAGAAUCUCCAAUCAAAUUAAUAAUCUAUGAGAUAAAUAAUUUUGAAAAAUUUAAAAAACAUUUAUUACGAUGAUGUAAUCAUGCGAUAGAAGAUUCUUGCAUACGCAUGAAGCUGUGUAAGCCGCCACAUGGAAGAGCUAUGUUGCGGCGCUUUUUCUUAGAUUUUUCCCAUGAAUGAUAUGCGCACUUGCGUACUUGAGAAACUAGUCAUCCCAACUUUCACCAUGCGUGUCACUUAAACUAGUCAUCCCAAUUUCCUAACAUGUGUGUCACCCCCCUCUUUUAUUUCCCCUUUGCUUUCGUUUCCUUCAAUUGCAGGAUAAAAUUGUUUGCAAGAUCAAAAGUGUGGCGAGGACUUGACACUCGGCUGGUACAUCCUUAAAGAUUUUUAUCCCAGGAGAGUAGGCUUAUCUUCAUGCAAAUGCCACCUUGUUUAAAUUCUUGAAACACCUUUUUAUUCUUAUUGGCCUAAACAUUUGAAAUAUCUAACAUAAAUAUCGUACGUUGUGUUGCGGUAUAGACUGAAAGAAUACCCUUUCGUAUUUGUUCUUGCAAGUUCUAUAAAUAUACAUACAAGAUAUGCACAUACAAGAGGUAAAAUACUUUAGCUCUCUGCGUAUAUCCUCAAGCAGUUAAGCUCUACUAGUGGAUAUGGUAACACCGUAUGUACACAAACCAGCAUGUACACAAUUCAUCAGGCAUGCUACUUGUGCAGGAACAGGUCGGCCUCAUAGACGAGGGACUCGAUCCGGCGUGGGGGUUCUGGCGGGUGUCAUGAGGCAGUACCAGCACACCAUCCUAAACACGCCGGUGCCGCCACCACAACGCGCUCGUUGGUGCUCUUGAAGCCCGACACACCCCCCUGCAUGGCCAGCAUGCUCUCAUGGGGCGCUCCCCUGCCAUGAAGACGAGGUUGAUCGUCAUUGCACCUAGCGGGCUCACAGGCCCCGCACCGAUCAAGAAGCCCUAGCACCGCUGCCGAUGAGCGAGGAGUUUCUCGGUCCGGACCGUUGCGCAGCUGGUCGCGAGCACGUACGCCGCCCGUUCUGAUUAUUACUAUUAUAUUAUUAUUAUUACAAAUUGGAUUUGGUUUAUACAUUUGUCUGAUAAAUUAUGGGCCAUAAUUCUUUUCAAUUUGGGAGUCCCAAAUGAUUCAAGGGAACUGAAAGAGGGGGAUUUGAACCCUUACAUAGGCGCCCAGCGGGAAUAACACCGCGGUGAGGGCCGUGGCGUUUGGGCGUGUACAGGUGGAUUUGGUCUUGCAAUGGAAGGUAACCUGAAGUACUGGAUGAAAGCAAACAAAAAGUAGGAAGGGGUGAUAUGCAUGCUGUCAAAUUGUGAUGAUUAACUUCUGAGAACUAAUAAUGAUGUCUUUUAUGCAGAACAAAUUGUUUGAUGUCUUCAUGCAAUAUGGACUUUGUCAUGCGUAUCGAGUUCCUUUAUGCUCAUACCUAUAUGUACGCAUCACUCAUUGUUGCGGGACAAAAGCUUCUAUAUAUACCUUCAACACUGAUUUCAUUUGCUAGUUGAGUGUGUGUCAACAACCUUUUGUGCUUAGUUAUUCUCCGCCAUGUUAUCAUUCAUUAGUACUGGUAUGCUACCAGUGUUUGAUAUGUGAGAGAUUGGAGGAUACCAAGGCAAGCUUGUUUCUCUUCGAGAAGCAAGCAACACGUUGGAUUGUUGUGUCUACCUCUGCAACGCAAUAGUGCUACUCGAAGUGCCAACUUUUUCAGCGAAGGGAACCGCAUAUGUAUGUAAUAAAUUCACAUCAUGCACCACAGCGGGCGGUCAUGUAGCACGAACUAUUGAUCCUAGUUUAGAUUCAUGGGUUAGAAUUAAAGUUUGUUAGAUUGGACCGACCUAACCAUAAAACAUCCAAACAGGAGGGUUAGAGUUGGUUAGAUGCAUCUAACCCACCCAAAAAAACUAAUCCAUCCAAGAGAUGCUUAUUUGAGUUAGAGUUACGUGGGGUCCAGAAAAAAUUACUUUUUUCUUUACCUCCAUCACAUCCUAGAUAAAGGAGCCAAAUGAUUAGGAAAAUGCAUUUACUGACAAUCUAACUCUUUCAUCCGAACAUCUUUUUGAUUAGAGUUAAUUUAGGAUUAAUCUAGAGUUAGAAUCUAACUUUAACCUUUAAUCAAAUUAGAGUAUUCAAACAGGCCAUUGACAUUAGUCAUUCAUGUUGAAACAAUUAAUAACCGAGCCGACGUUGGGCCAAUGUUUGCCGCGUAACUACAACAGCCAGUGUCUAAUUAAUGUUAGAGAAAGGAAAGGUUUGGGUGUGCUCGUUUGUAUAGUUCCACUGUACCUGCCCCUUUUAUGGUGUAAUUUUAUAAUCACAACCUUCAAAUAGAUUGUUUGACUUUGCAUAGACAAGCAAUACCCUAUGUCCUCGCGCAUAUAUACAUGUGCCCUGCCGUUUUUCUCUGUUAUCUUAUAAAUUGUAGUUGGUGGUGGUAGGGGCGAGUUCACCCUCCCCACUCCAUCCAAAUCACCACAUCCAUCCAGGUUCUAUUUGAUCCUUUCCGAUCCAACAGGCCACGGCCUCACUUAAAUUCUACUCCCUCCGUUCCAAAAUUCUUGUUUUAGGUUUGUUUAGAAAUGAGUGUAUCUAAAUACUACAAUUCUUAUUCACGGGAAAGCCAACCGAAAGAUUCGAUUCGGACUUCGUAGAGCCGGUGCUGCUGCUGUCUGCGUAGGGCCGUCCCCCACUCCCGUCCCGGGACGCUAAGGGGUUUUGUUUUAGGAACAGACGGCGGUGUUUUGCUGACGCCUCGAAUCGACGCUUUUGUUGCGACAUGCUAAGUUUUCUCCCCUAUUGCUAGUAGGUUGAUGGGUCGCACGCCCGGCACACAUGUUUUGGCCUUGCUUGUGUGUCCAGAACUCAAAAUAGGUGACCUAACGGCCGCCGCCCGACUAAACAUAUCAAUAGUCACCAAAUUCAUAUGGGCUACUGAGGAGUUGGCAAUGAUCUUCUUAAGAUCGAUCUGUCUUAAAGUGGUCAAGGAAGUAUAUAUUAUAGCAAUCGCGCUUAGAGUAUAAAUGAAAGGAGUGAAACAAAGUGUCGCUUCGGGAAACAUGGGUAUUGAAAAUCUUAAAAACCCGUAGGUUCCCAAUUUUAAAAGAAUUCCAGCCAAGAUGACGGAUCCAGCCGUAGGUGCCUCUACAUGGGCUUCGGGUAACCAAAUAUGAACUGGUACCAUAGGCACUUUGACGGCAAAAGAGGCGAAAAAAGCAAUCCAUAGAAGGAUUUGGCGCCGCUCACUAGAUUCAGUGGUUAAUAACAUUUGUAAAUCGGUGGUUCCUGUUUGGAGAAGAAUCAACAGAAUAGCUAAUAGCAUAAAAACGGAUCCAAGUAAAGUAUAUAGAAAAAACUGAUAUGUUGCCUUGAUCUUUCUUUGUCUCGAACCCCAUACCCCUACAAUGAUGGUAGAGUCAGGGGUGGCCCCAAAGCGGAAUUGACCGGUGGUAGUUGGUCGUGUUGGAAAUAUGCCCUAGAGGCAAUAAUAAAUUAGUUNNNNNNNNNNNNNNNNNNNNNNNNNNNNNNNNNNNNNNNNNNNNNNNNNNNNNNNNNNNNNNNNNNNNNNNNNNNNNNNNNNNNNNNNNNNNNNNNNNNNCACAUGGAAGGUUACAAGAAAGGAAAGUCUACACUUGGGGCAUUACAAACUCUCCCACACUACAAAGAAGAUCUCGACCCCGAGAUCUAAGACUGAAAGAAUUCGGGAAAUUCGGAACGGAGGUGAUCCUCGCGUUCCCACGUAGCCUCUUUAUCGGAAUGGUGUGACCACUGCACUUUGAGGAACUUGACAGACUUGUUACGGGUCUUGCACUCAGUCGCCUCGAGAACCGCAACUGGAUGCUCGCGAUAAGAGAGGUCAGGCUGGAGAUCGAUAUCCUGAAGAUGCACAGUGCGCUCGGGGUUCUUGAAACACCUCCGAAGCUGAGAAACAUGGAACACGUCAUGGACAUUUGCAAAGGUUGACGGAAGCUCGAGCUGGUACGCGAGGUCGCCCCUCUUGCCAACCACUCUGAACGGACCAACGAAACGAGGCGCAAGCUUGCCUUUGAUGCCAAAACGCUACAUACCCUUCAUAGGCGACACCUUAAGGUAGACAAAAUCAUCAAGCUCAUACGACAUGUCACGGUGCUUGCUAUCGUAAUAGCUCUUCUGCCGAGACUGCGCUGCUCUGAGGUUGUCGCGAAUGAUCCGACACAUCUCCUCAGCCUCUUCUAUCAUAUCAUUGCCAAGGAUCUGACGCUCGCCUGUCUGGGACCAGUUGAGCGGAGUACGGCACUUCCUGCCAUAGAGAAUCUCAAACGGAGCCUUGCCAGAGCUAGCUUGAUAACUGUUGUUAUACGAGAACACCGCGAAAGGCAGACAAUCCUCCCACUUCAUGCCAAAGGAGAUAACACAUGCUCUCAGCAUGUCCUCAAGAACUUGAUUCACUCUCUCCACUUGACCACUAGACUGAGGAUGGAACGCUGUGCUGAAGCGGAUCUUCGUGCCCAUAGCAGACUGAAAAGAGUCCCAGAACUUGGAAGUGAAGAUACUCCCACGAUCUGAUGAGAUCAUCAUAGGUACACUGUGCAACGAGACAACCCUCGAGGUGUACAACUCUGCCAGCUGAGCUGCUGAAAUGGACUCCUUGACUGGAAGGAAAUGCGCCACUUUACUCAAUUUGUCGAUGACGACGAAGAUAGCGUCAUUGCCCUUCUUGGACUUCGGAAACCCUGUGACAAAGUCCAUCUCAAUGUGAUCGAACUUCCACUCGGGAAUCGGCAAAGGCUGCAAGAGGCCCGCUGGUCUUUGAUGUUCUGCUUUCACCCUUCGACAUACAUCACACUCAUUGACGAAUUGAGCAAUUUCACGCUUCAUACGGGUCCACCAGAAUGACUGCUUCAAGUCAUGGUACAUCUUGGAACUUCCCGGAUGAAUAGAAAGCAGAGAAUUGUGAGCUUCUUCCAUGAUCACCUUCCUGAGAUCACCUUUCGGGACGACAAGGCGGUCCUCGAAAAACAAAGUGUCUCUGGCCUCCACAGUGAAACACUUAUACUUGGGAAGGCUCUUCCCCACACCAAUCUUGACCUUCUUCACCAUAGUAUCAAGUAGCUGAGCUGCUCUGACCUGAUCUUCCAAGGUAGGAGAGAUCUGAAGGUUCGCCAGAAAACCCUGAGGAACCAGCUGAAGAUUGAGCUUCCUGAAAGACUCAGAAAGACCCGGCUGGAGAGGUUGCAGAAUCAGACUGUUGCAAUAUGCUUUCCUGCUCAAUGCAUCUGCCACAACAUUUGCCUUGCCUGGCGUGUACUCAACACUCGGAUUAAAAUCCUGGAGCAUUUCCACCCAACGUGUUUGCCGAAGAUUCAAGUUAGGCUGAGUGAAGAUAUACUUGAGGCUCUUGUGAUCGGUGAACACUUCAACCUUACGUUCCAACAAGAGAUGUCUCCAAGUCAUCAAGGCGUGCACCACAGCUGCUAGCUCGAGAUCGUGCACAGGAUAGUUCUUCUCCGCAGGCUUCAGCUGCCUGGAGGUAUAAGCAACCACCUUCCUAUCUUGCAUCAAGACUGCACCAAAACCCUGAAGAGAAGCAUCGCAAAAGACCUAGUACGGCUUGGAAUCAUCCGGAGGAGCCAAUACCGGAGUGGAGGUAAGCUUCUCUUUGAGUGUAUCAAAAGCCAGUUGACACUCUGGAGACCAAACAUACUUGACACCCUUCUGAAGAAGAAUAGAGAGCGGCUUGGCGAUUUUGGAGAAGUUCUGAACGAAUCUUCUGCAAUAUCCGGCAAGACCGAGAAAGCUUCGAAGCUGCUUCACAUUCUGCGGAGGUUCCCAUUCAACAAUGGCCUGAACCUUGGACGGAUCAACCUUAAUGCCCUCGGCAGAGAUAAUAUGCCCAAGAUACACCACUUCUUUCAGCCAGAACUCGCACUUGGAAAACUUUGCAUAAAGCUUGUAUUCUCUCAGUUUAUCAAGCACCAACCUGAGAUGUUUCUCAUGUUCUUCCUCAUCCUCAGAAAAGACCAGAAUGUCAUCGAUAUAAAGCAAGACAAACUCAUUCUUGAAUGGCGAGAAGAUAUAGUUCAUCAAUCGGCAAAAAGUUGGAGGAGCAUUAGCCAGACCAAAAGACAUGACCGUAUACUCAUAAGAGCCAAAACUGGUCCUGAAUGCCGUCUUUGGAAUGUCUUCCUCACGAAUGCGAAUCUGAUGAUAGCCCAUCCUGAGAUCAAGCUUGGAGAAUACUUUAGCACCUUUCAACUGCUCGAACAACUCAUUUAUGUUCGGAAGCGGAUAUUUGUUCUUGAUUGUCUUCUUGUUCAAUGGGCGGUAAUCGACACACAGUCGUUCCGUACCAUCCUUCUUCUUGACAAAUAGAACACCACAUCCCCACGGAGACGAGCUUGGUCUGAUCAAACCCAAACGCUCCUGCUCAUCGAGUUGCCUCUUGAGUUCCUUCGACUCUUCUGGACCCAGCUUGUACGGCCGCUUGCACACUGGCUCUGUGCCUGGCUCAAGCUCGAUGACGAACUCCACUUCACGGUGCGGAGGCAUCCCUGGCAACUCUUCAGGAAACACGUCCUGAUAUUCGCAGACUACUGGAACUUGCUCAAUGGGAUUGAUCUCACCCUUUUCAUUCAAGGAGAACAAGCGGACUGUGUCAUCGCGCGCCGCGAAUAUAAUCACAUCCUCCGAAGAGUGGGUCAGCUUCACUUCUUUAGCUUCACAAUCAAUUGAUGCUUUGUUCAUGGCCAACCAGUCCAUACCAAGGAUCAAAUCAAUGUCGGACUUUCCCAAGACAUACGGAGAGGCCAGAAAAGCAUAAUUGUCCAUUUUGAUAGAAACAUCCGGAGCAAACCAACGAGAACUCAUAAGCAUGCCCGGAGAAACAAUAUCGAAAGACCUGGCCAACUCUUGAAGAUGGAUAUCGUGCUUUGCCGCAAAUGGAUAAGACAAGAAAGAAUGCGAUGCACCAGAAUCAAACAAGACUUUAGCAGGAAAAUCAUUGACUAAGAGAUUACCCAUGAUCACAUCCGAAGAAUUUUCUGCCUCAGCUGCAUUCACCAUGUUGACUCGAGCUGAUCUGGGGUUGAACUUCACAAGAGCGUUGCUAGGAGGUUUGCCUGGAGGAGGAGGCGGCAGACGGAGCUGAGAAGUGCAUUUGUUGGCAUAGUGACCCUUCUGCCCACAUUUGUGACAAGUGACAUCUGCUGGCUGCCGGAACUGAAUCUGAGGAGGCCCUUGCUUCUGCUGCUGAUAUCUCUGCUGGAAUCCAGGGUUGGGUGGGCGGGAAGAACCACGUCCACCUGAGUGCUUCGGCUGCUGAGAGUGCCGAGGAGGAGGAGGAGAAACCCAAAACCUCUGUUGUUUCUGAACCACCUGAGUCGAGGAAGAGCUGGAAUCUCUGAAACGUUUCUUGGAGUUCUCCACCCUGAGCAAGGCUGCCUCUGCUCUGAGAGCUAAGUUAUAGAAUUUGUCAAACUCCUCAGGAUCGUGCAAAGCGAGUGCUAACUGCAAAUCCUCCUUCAAACCACCCCUGAACUGGUAUAUCUUGCUCUUCUGAUCCGGAACAUCCUGCAAUGCGUACCGGGCGAGCUCGUGGAACUCAACAUUGUACUUGUACACAGAAUUGCUGCCCUGCUUCAAGCGCCUGAACUUCUCACGCAUCUCCUCAACAAAACUGGAAGGAAUGUAGUGGGACCUGAAGUCACGACAGAACUCGUCCCAAGACAUCACCCUGCCACCUCUGGAAUCCUUAAGCUGCUGCCACCAAAUAGAAGCCUGUCCCUUCAUCUGGAAUGUUGCAAACUUGACAUAAUCCUCUGGACGCACAUUGCUACACUCGAAAUGCUUGUUCAUAUCACGGAUCCAAUCUUCCGCGUCAAACGGCUGGUCGCAAGAAGUGAACGUCCUGGGCUGGUUUGACAGGAACUGACUCAGACUAGCGAAGUGAUUGCCACCUUGCUGGAAAUUGCCUUGCUGAUGAUUGGCUCUCUCCUGGAUCAACUGCAACAACAUCUGAGUAUUUGCAUUGGUAGCUGCCAUCAUUGCCUGCCAAGCCUCUGCAGGAGGAGGCGGCGGCGGUGGCGGAGGAGGAGGUGGAGGCGGCAUAUCCUCACGGGCUGGUGUCUGACGAGUUGGUGGAGCCAUCCUGAAGAUGGACAGCAAAUUAGUCCACUGAAUAUUUGAAGAUAAGCUGAAUCAACAGACAGAAUAUCUGAAUAGAACUUAGCAUUGCACUCGAACAACAUAGCAAAAGUGCAUUCUCAAAGUAACAUACGACAAAAUUCCGAUAAGGGCCACAGCAAACAAGUGUGAGCUAGAACUGCUCGGAACAAACAUAUGAUCGAGAUUUCCCAAACCUCAAUCAAGCGACUGUAGGAAGAUAGUCCUAUAAGAUACUACCAGAUAUCCCACCUAUGAAUUCUCGAAAUAACUGGUCAUGUAAUCAGGCACACAGAUACAAGGAGUAUUUCACACAACUCCUAAUCUAAACCAUCACCUGUAUCACAUCCUUCAACACACAACCAGCAUCUCGGACCUUCGUCUACACAGAUCCUCGUGAUCACAACGAUACAAAGUGUGGUAGUACCCCCGAACAAUCUACACCAGUACUGGGGACGUCGGGGUUAUCUCACCACUACCCGUAUUGAAGCAAUAACGAACACCCUCCGUUCUUAGGUGCUCAGAAAUCUGAAUGAUGGCGAUGUGCGCGAUAAUCCCUGGAGCUCAACUCCCCUGAUACUUAGAGCAGAUAGGAGGCACCAGGACACGAUUCCGUCACAUCGAAAUCAUAUAGAUUUCGCAAACACCCGCGUGAUCCUAAAAAAAUUUUGAGCGGGAAAAGGAGUAGAGUUAAAGAUUUCCUAAGACGGAAGCCUCACCAGAGCAAGGAAGAGGAGAAAAAUGAAACCUACUCUCCGAUAUAACUAAGACUCAAAACAUUUACUAGACUCGACUCGGCCAAAUACGAUCACACAAAGGCUCCUAUGGUCGUAAGGCUCUGAUUACCAACUUGUAACGACCAAGAUGCGGUCCUUUCCGAUCUGGGGGGCGAGGCCCCCGAAUAGGAAAGAAGCGCAUCUAAGUGUUUUGCAAGCAAGUAAACAUAGCACAUAAUAAUAAAUAAAGUAGACAAUCUGGGAUUCAAUUGUCUUCUUAUUAAUAAAACAGAGUACAACGCAGAUACAAUCAAUGUAGUUCCGGUACGGACUACAAAACAAGGAAAAUGCUAUGCUACCCGCUGCAGGCCCACGAUCACAACCACGGCUCAGUCCUCUGGAUAGUUCACGUAAAGGCGAUCUGUCUCCUCGUCGUACUGCCACGUCAGCUGAGCGCCAUCGGGAUCAUCUGCCUCUGGGGUACCUGUACCUGCUGGGAGUUUCGGAGGAAUCCGUGAGUCACGGGGACUCAGCAAUCUAAGACCUUGGUGCCAGAACUAGACAUGUUAUUGGGUAAGGAAGGGGUGAAGUGUUUCAGGCUGCUGCAUCCUAAGGUUGAAUAAGAGGCUAGCUUACACAAAGGAGAAGUGACAGUGCUCUAUACUAACGGUCGUGAUUACUUGAUCAGAAAGUGAUCCUGAACACAUACCUACGGCAUUCAUAACCCCACCGUGUUCCCGAUCGAAGAGGGAUCUUCGAAGGGACAGUCACGGUUACGCACACAGUUGGCAUAUUUUAUUAGUUUAUGUUUAAGUUUUCUAAUACCGGAUGUCAACAAAAUAUUCCAAGUUGCCACAUAACCGCGGGCACGGCUUUCCGAAAGAUUAAACCCUGCAGGGGUGCUCCAACUAGUCCAUCACAAACGAACACAGGCCGCAAAGGCAUCCUCUAUCACGAAACUCGUGAUCUCGUCGUAUUCCUUAGAGGAAAACCUCAACUCUGGGGAAAACCAAAAUCUCACCGGGAUUCCUAUACGCAAGAUACACCGCUAAGGCAAGACAAGACUAGCAGGACCUCCCGACGUGUCGACGACCCUGAUAAGAGCCGCGUAUCUCAGUCUCAGGACACACCGGAUGAGUCACACUACAGGUAUACCAAACCUCAGGUUGCCCUGUGGUGGCCCCAUAGUCUGCCCAGUUUGGACCAACACUCAUGAGGAGCACUGGCCCGGGUUGUUGAUUAAGAAACCUCGGGGUAGCUAUUCCCUAUGCAGCUUUUUAUUAAGUGAUUAGCAAAUAGUACCAAUGUUGGGUCCUGCCGGACAAGCCUUAACACUACGCGAUUUAUCAAGGGGGUCCCCAUAACAACCCCGAACGUGUUAGGAGCGAUCAUUAUGGAAUCAAACACCGGUAACCGGUAACUAAGGCGGCAAUAACGGAACAAGACACCCGGCAAAAGGCUAGGCCUCCCGUCAUUUACCAAAUAUAUAGAUACAUUAAUUAAAUACCAGAAAUUAAUAUAAUGAUAUCAAGCUCAUGGCAACUCAUGAGUGAAAAACACCUGCAACUAACAAUGCUAACAUUAGUAGCUGAGCAAGCCUACCUAGCCAUGCAAAUUUGCUAGGAAAGAGUAAGGUGUUUGGGCUCAUGGCAUAUGAAGAGGCAAUAUAUUUUCGGUGGUAGGCAGCGAGCAAUAUGACGUGGAAUCGAAACUAACAUUACAAGUCUAGAUAUGGGAUCAAGGUCAUGUCAUCUUGCCUGUGAUAUCCUCAGCUUGGAAUGGUUCUGGAUCGUCCUGCAAGUACUCUCCUGACUCCACGUAAUCGGUCUCCGCUCCCGGUGCUACCCAACACAAGAAUAACAGCCAAUGAACAGCAGCUCCACAAAAUGCAACAAUCACAUGAUGCAUGAGAUGAAAGUUGAGCAUGCACCACUAUUUCUAACACUAGCACAAGCAAGAUAAACUACAACGAGUUCCUGGACAGAACUUUGCACUAAACUAUUUGGACAUGCAUGGUAAUGAAAUGAACAGAUGCAUCUCGUAAAAACGGUGCAAAACCAUAUAAAGAACUUUGCAAACGGAGCUACGGAUCAACGGGAAACAACGAAACACGAUAUGAAGCCCUACGUGAAAGAUUCAUCACCACACACACAAUUGGCACAAAUCUGGUGUUCCCAGGUUGCCAAGACAUAUAUGAACCCAACAUGAAUGAAAUGGAGCAAGGUAGAACACUCCAACAACAAUUAAACGCAAACUUUGAACAAAAUGUCAAAACUACGCAAUCUGCCAGUUUCUGCAUCUUAGCUGUUUGAGAGCAACAUGCAACAUAGCUACAGGUCUUCAAACAUGACAAAUAAUAUAUGUGGCUGUUGCCAACCAAGAACACUACCAUAUCCAGCAAGAAUCACAGCAAAAGGAAUUAAACUCUAGAAGAUACAAGGCCACAAACUUUCCCAAAACCAUCAGUUCUCAGGGACUUAGUGAAAAUUCCUGCACCUGAGUUACUGUUUCUGUUCUGAAGCUUUUUGACAGAAAUCAAAACACAAGCUACUGGACACCAAAUGACUUGAAAAUUGACAGGAAGCUUCACAAACAUACCAGGUUCAAAACACUAGCAGUGAACUAAGUCCAGUUUCCACCACAAUGACCAGAACAACCUUAUCUACAGGGGAAGAAAAUGUUUUCAGCAUUCCAGACUUAGUGAAAUUUUCAGGGUUCAAAAAUCUGGAAUUUUCCAACCACAUGCCCACUUUGUCUAGGCAUAGUUUGCACACACAAGUUCCCAAGAGGUGUUUGACACCACUAUGGUAUUGAGCACAAACCCCUACAACUAACACACCAAGAUCCAUGCUUUUGGGCUCCAUCUAUAUCAUGGAAACAAAGCCCAAACUUUCAACAACAUAAAAAUGCAAAUCCAUAUGGUAUUCUUCUAAGAGGACAAUACAUAGGAGGGUUUCAUGUGCACAAUGACAAAGUGACAUGGGGGUUUGAACCCCAUGUUUGUGUCAUACACACCAACAACCCCAACACACAUGAGCCAACCCCACACACACAAUAUGCCCUCUCUCAUAUGAAACAUGAGGAGGUGCACCACUUGUAAAGGUGGGGAGGUCCACACCACCCACACAUCUAGCAUGACACAAAUCUAGUCCUACUAGAACUAGUUAGAGCAUACAAUAGCUACACUCCCUAAAUGAAUCCGACAACACCACACACUACCACUCAUGAGCACAUCAAUGCUCUUCAAGCCUUGCCAUGGGUGAGGCUCUCACACACAUAUCUAUACUAGAGCUACCACAAGCUAAUGCACACACAUCACAAUCUACUAGCCCCACAUGGUGCAAGAGCCCACUCCAAGCACAAGGGAAACACACUCACAUGCACAUCUUUCACAAGCACAACCACACACACUACAUCACCUAGCACAACUAUAACAGCAAGGAGAAAAAAAAAUACAUAAUUCCAUGGCCACCUUUGGUAGGCACAAGAUCAGCAAUAGUAAGAAGGGUGUUUUAAAAAAAAUGUAGCAGAAGAAAAAAAAACAACAAGGACAGAACACAAUAGCAAGAGGGGUCAGGAUUUGAACCCUGAACCUCCUGAUGCUCUCUACUGCACCCAUCCACUCUGCUAUGCCCCUGGGCUCGAUAGAGAAGGACCCAAACAGAGGUUAACUCUGUUGUGCUGCCCUACUGCAAAUCAGAAAGGAAAACAAGCAAGAUAAAAAGGGGGUGCAACGCAUGGGAUUCGAACCCUGCACCUGACGAUAACACAAACACCAUCUACCACUGCGCUGCUGUUACUGAUGUUAACAGGAGAAGGAAAAAAGGAUAAGGUAAUCCACCUGCAGGAAUAAAUCAAAACAAGGAACAAAAGGCGCCGAGGGGGGGACUCGAACCCACGCCCUCUUACAGGCGCACCAUGCUAGUUACCACUCGGCUAUGACUCGUCUACUGUCAUAGAAGAGAGUCUGAAACUAGGUGAGCUAACACUCCCGACUGACUGCUAUGCCCUGCGAAAUCUGCUGCUCGCCGGUAACAGAGAAGACGCCAUGGGGACUCAAUACGGAUCAACACGGCGAGGGAUCCAGCCUGGCCACGGCAGCUACCACGAGGGGGAGGAAGCCCCUCUGCGCAGCGCUGGCACGCACACACUCUGCACUGCAGAACAAGCCGCGCUACUGCAUCCUACUAAACCGCUGCUAGGGAACAGAGAAGCACGCGCCACGCCGGGAACGAGCCGGACCGCGGAGGAGGAAGGAAGGAGGAGGACGCGGCCUCACCUUGGGGGAAGAUGGGGCGCCGAACGGGGAGGAGGAGCGUCGAAGGGAAGCAGGCCGUCGACGAGGAGACCCGACGGCAGAACCGAAGGAGAUAUGGCGGGACACCGCGGGCACGGCCUAGACGAGCUCGGGUCCGGCGAUGUGGUCGGCCCCCGGGACCCCUAGCGCCGGGAAUGGAUCGCGGGGAUCCACCCCGUGCUCCCAGGCAUGACGACGGCGGCGAACGGAGGCGGGGCGCGACGCCACCGGCGACGCCUUCUGCUCUCUGUCCUGCUUCUCUCUGCUGUCUUACCUGACAGAGAAGAAGGAAGAGAGAUGGGAACGAGAUGGGUUUGGGAGAGGUGGCGGCGGCGGCUGAGGGGAGGAGAGGAACCCUAGGCUUCGGGCACGGACGCCAACGCAUCUUAUAGGGGGACCUCGACGUGCUGCUCACGGCGCCGUCAUCUCUCUCUCUCUCACACGUUCUGACGGAAAGCAGGCAGCGAGGGGAGGAGGAGGACGCCGUGAAGAAGGAAAAGAGAGGAGAGGUCUCGCGUGGGCUCUCUCUGGAGGGAGCCGCUGGGCCAGGAGGGAGGAAAGAGGCCCAAGCUGCCCAGGAGGAAGGAAAAAAAAUUGGGGAGGGGAUUCCUAUUUAGUAUUUAAACACACUCAAGAAAAUAACCCACAAAAUAAUCUACUGAGGCAAAAAUCAAAAGGAAAAUCCUGCUGGACUUAAGGAAUUUUUGCCCAAUAGGGAAAAAUAGGAAUGCAAUAAUUGGAGAAGUUUGAAAUUAAUGCAAAACAGUAAUUUAAGCUACUGUUUUGAAUUUAUUUGCACCACUAAAAUCAAAGAGUCAAAACAGUAAAAUUGCACCCCCUCAUAAGCACAUUUUAUCCACCCACUAGACAUUUUAGAAUCACCUUUGGGAAGAAGGAAUUUUGGCAGGACUGAACAUAGGAGGGAAAAGGAGUUCGAAAGCAAGAGCUUAAAAGACUGGCACUCACUCUUGCAUCACACACCAUUAUCACAUGCUCACAAGGUAGUGCAAAACCACCACUUAAUCCUAGCAAGAUCACAUGCACUCACAACACCACAACACUACUCCUAUUAAACUCAAAUGCAACAUGAUCAUGGCAUGCAAUCAUAAGUAUGGCAAGGAAUGAUAUGUAACUCAUGCAUGCAAGGGAAGUAAGCACUAGGGAACACACAUGAAUUCAAAGCACGAAAGAUAUCCUCAAGAUCUCUGACAAGCUGGCCCCACAUGGAAGGUUACAAGAAAGGAAAGUCUACACUUGGGGCAUUACAGGCGCCUACACCAAUUGAAGUGAAAGCUGAUGAUGGUGAUCAUCGAGCAUCGGAUCAAGUUACUACAAACCUCGUAGGUUGACAAGGUCGCGUACUACUACAGAGUGGUAGGGUAACCCUGUCUUGGAGGUCAUGUUGUUGAGCAACAGUGAACCUACGAGUUAUGGAGAAAGCAAUGGUGGGCCCAGAUUCUGACAAAUGGCUAGAAGCCAUGAAAUCCGAGAGAGGAUCCAUGUAUGAAAACAAAGUGUAGACUUUGGAAGAACUACUUGAUGGUCAUAGGACUAUUGAGUAAAGAUGGAUCUUUAAAAGGAAGACAGACGAUGAUAGUAAUAAGUCACUAUUAAGAAAAUCUCGACUUGUCGCAAAGAUGUUUCCGACAAGAUCAAACAGUUGACUAUGAUGAGACUUUCUCACUCGUAGCGAUGCUAAAAGUCUGUUAGAAUUAUGUUAGUAGUUGAUGCAUUAUUUAUGAAAUAUUCCAUGUAGGAUGUCAAAACAUUGUUUCCUCGACGGUUUCCUUGAGCAAACAUUGUAUGAGAUACAACCAUGAGGUUUUGUCGAUCCUAAAGAUACUAGCAAGUAUGCAAGCUCCAGUGAUCCUUAAAUGGACUGGUGCAAGCAUCUCGGAGUUGGAAUAUACACUUUGAUGAGAUGAUCAAGGAUUUUGGGUUUGUACAAGGUUUAUGAGAAACUUGUAUUUCCAAAGAAGUGAGUGGGAGCACUAUAGAAUUUCUGAUAAGUAUAUGUGUUUGACAUAUUGUGGAUCAGAAGUAAUGUAGAAUUUCUGUAAAGCAUACAAGGUUGUUUGAAAGGAGUUUUCAAAGGAAUACCCGGAUUGAGCUACUUGAACGUUGAGCAUCAAAUAUCUAUGGAGAUAGAUCGAAAGCGCUUAAUGGAAGUUUCAACAAGAUGCAUGCCUUGACAAGUUUUGAAGGAGUUCAAAAUAGAUCAACAAAUAAGGAGUUCUUGGUUGCGUUGUAAGGUGUGAAUUUGAGUAAGACUCAAAACCCGACCACGGCAGAAUAAAGAGAAUAGACGAAGGUCGUCUUCUAUGCCUUAGCCGUAGACUCUAAAGUAUGCCAUGCUGAGUACCGCACCUGAUGUGUGCCUUGCAGCAAGUCUGUUGAGAGGUACAGAGAGUGAUCCAUGAUUGAAUCACUAGCAGCGGUCAAAAUGUAUCCUUAGUAACUGAUGGACUAAGGAAUUUUUCUCGAUUAUGGAGGUGGUUAAAGAGUUCGUCGUAAAGGGUUACGUCGAUGUAAGCUUUGACACUAAUCCGAAUGACUAUGAGUAGUGAAACGGAUUCGUAUAGUAGAGUAGAUAUUUGGAGUAUUUCCGAAUAGCACAUAGUAGCAGCAUCUAUAAGAUGACAUAAAGAUUUGUAAAGAAUACACGGAUCUGAAAAUUUCAGAACCGUUGACUAAAACCUCUCUCAUGAGCAAGACGUGAUCAGACCCCAUAACUAUAUUGGGUGUUGGAUUCGUUGGAAUCACAUGGUGAUGUGAACUAGGUUAUUGACUCUAGUGCAAGUGGGAGACUGUUGGAAAUAUGCCCUAGAGGCAAUAAUAAAAUGGUUAUUAUCAUAUUUCCUUGUUCAUGAUAAUCGUCUAUUGUUCAUGCUAUAAUUGUAUUAACAGGAAACAGUAAUACAUGUGUGAAUAAAUAGAUCACAAUGUGUCCCUAGCAAGCCUCUAGUUGGCUAGCUCGUUAGUCAAUAGAUGAUCAUGGUUUCCUGAUCAUGGGCAUUAGAUGUCAUUGAUAACGGGAUCACAUCAUUGGGAGAAUGAUGUGAUGGACAAGACCCAAUCCUAAGCCUAGCACUAGAUCGUAUUGUUCGUAUGCUAAUUCUUUUCUAAUGUCAAGUAUCUUUUCCUUCGACCGUGAGAUUUUGCAACUCCCGGAUACCGUAGGAGUGCUUUGGGUGUAUCAAAUGUCACAACGUAACUGGGUGACCAUAAAUGUGCACUACGGGUACCUCCGAAAGUGUCUGUUGGGUUGGUACGAAUCGAGAUCGGGAUUUGUCACUCCGUGUGACGGAGAGGUAUCUCUGGACCCACUCGGUAGAACAUCAUCAUGAGCUCAAUGUGACUAAGGAGUUAGUCACACGAUGACGUGCUACGAAACGAGUAAAGAGACUUACCGGUAACGAGAUUGAACAAGGUAUAGGUAUACCGACGAUCGAAUCUCGGGCAAGUUCUAUACCGACAGACAAAGGGAAUCGUGUACGGGAUUGAUUGAAUCCUUGACAUCGUGAUUCAUCCGAUGAGAUCAUCGUGGAGCUAGUGGGAGCCACCAUGGGUAUCCAGACCCCGCUGAUGGUUAUUGGCCAGAGAGGUGUCUCGGUCAUGUCUGCCUGUCUCCCGAACCCGUAGGGUCUACACACUUAAGGUUCGAUGACGCUAGGGUUAUAGGGAAUUGUUAUACGAGGUUACCGAAAGUUGUUCGGAGUCCCGGAUGAGAUCCCGGACGUCACGAGGAGCUCCGGAAUGGUUCGGAGGUAAAGAUUGAUAUAUAGGACGGAUGGUUUCGGAUACCGGAAGUGUUUCGGACAUCACCGGUAACGUACCGGGACCACCGGGAUCACCGGAGGUGGCCCCGGGGGACCACCGAAGGGGGGCAACGACCAUGGGAGAUAAGGUGGGCCAAGUGGGGGUGGGAACCAGCCCUUAGGUGGGCUGGUGCGCCUCCCCACUCAGCCCAUAGCGCAAGGGAGAGAAAAAGGGGGGGGCAAACCCUAGGCCAGGUGGGCCUAAGGCCCACCAGAUGGUGCGCCACCCCUCCUCCCCCUUCUGGCCGCCGCACCUCCCAUCUGGGGGGGGCUGCCGUCCCCUAGGGUGGGAACCCUAGGGGUGGCACCCCCUCUCCCCUCCCCCUAUAUAUAUCGGGCACUUUUGGCCAUUGAGACACACAGUUUUUCCUCUCUCUCGGCGCAGCCCCGCUCCUCUCCCUCCUCCUCUCUGCUGGUGCUUGGCGAAGCCCUGUCGGGAGACCUCGUCUCUCCAUCGACACCACGCCGUCGUGUUGCUGGAGUUCUUCCCCAACCUCUCCCUCCUCCUUGCUGGAUCAAGGUGCGGGAGACGUCACCGGGCUGCACGUGUGUUGAACGCGGAGGUGCCGUUGUUCGGCACUAGAUCGGAAUCGCUGCGAGUACGACUCCAUCAACCGCGUUCUAGCAACGCUUCCGCUUAGCGAUCUUCAAAGGUAUGAAGAUGCUCUUACCCCUCUCUCUUUGCUGGUCUCUCCAUAGGAAGAUCUGAAUAUGCGUAGGAAAAUUUUGAAUUUGUGCUACGUUACCCAACAUGUAGGUCAUAUGUUACACAUUUUUGUAGCAUGACCUACAUAUAUUUAUAUGUUGUACAUUUGAAGCGAGCAAACAUAUGUAGGUCAUAUGUUACACAUUUUGGUUAAAAAUGACACCCGUUUGACUUCAAUCCAAUAGAUUUUGUUUUUGACAUAACAUUUUGUCACAUGCUUCAUAUACUUUGUUGUUUUCAAAUAUAUUCCGAGAGCAUUCUUAAAAUUGAUUUUGUAACUGUUUUAGUUUUCUAGCAUCUAUUUAUGCAUAUUUUUUAUCAAGGUUUCAGCAGCAACGCGCGGGUCAUCAUCUAGUAAGAAAUAGAAGUUGUGGACUAACGAUGGUUUUAUAAAAAUCCAACAUUUUUUUCGAUCAACAGGGCUCACCGCGGUUCCAUUUCAUGAACCCUGUUCCAUUUCAUUGAAACAAAACAUAAAAAAUAAACCCAAUAAAUACAAGUAAGAGAAGGGGUAAAUGGCUCAAAUCAUGUUCUAGUUGUAUUUCAGGGAGCCGAUCAAGCCGUGGCUAGCACUUCUAGUAGUACGCUAUAGGAGUUCAGGCUACCUCCGUGCGCUGAAGCACAGCCGGCUCAACAGGUAAGGAGGCUUUAGGCCUGGCCGGAGAGUGCAUGAGAGAUAUUCAGCUUCAGGGUUUGUUUGUUUAGGAUUCGUACUCGGGUCCAAACAACAUAAUUGGAGGCACCUCCGCAAAGGGUUUUUUCCAAGCCGAAGUGAACUAUGUUGCGUUUGCUUGAGAAGCAACCUGCGAGAAGUGGAUGCCGUUGGUUGAGCUGUGAGAAUGCACAGGUUGGAUGUACAUUGAGCAUCGCAUGCUGGUUCCGGAUCCGUGCCAACAUUAUGCUUGCUAUCAUGUUGGUAUCCUCCAAUCUCUCACAUGACUAAACAUUGUGGACAUGCGGAUAAUGACAUGGUCGGGAAUAAGCAACUAAUUAAGAACAAAGGCUGGUUGCUCUUGCUCAUUGACACACACUCGGCUAAGACAGGAAGUCAGUGAAAGGUAUAUAUGUAGAAGCUUUCGUUCCUGCAACAAGGAAUGAUACACACAUAUAAGCAUGAGUACAUGGGAACUCUAGUGCAUAUGAGCAUGAUAAAGUCUGAAGUGUGUGAGCACAUCACGCAAUUGUUCCCCACAAAAGCCAACAUGACCGGUUUGAAGAAAUUAGCAAUCACAGUUUUGCAGCAUGCGUAUCACCCUCUCUUAUUCCCCCUUUGCUUUUUAUAGUACUUCAUAUUUCCUUCAACCGCAAUAGCAGAAACACCAGAUAAGCAUGCCUACUGUACAAUAUGCAUGAGGGAACAAAAUAAUUGAUCUCGUUCCCAUUGUCCUAGACAAUUGGAUUAUCUCACGUGAAUAUUUUAUAGUACAUGUACAAGUUGUAAAUACCAAGAGAAGUGUAAAAUAUUUUGAAUGACCGUUAUAUCCCAUGUAAUUUGUAAAAGAUAACUCUAGAAUUAAAUUGUCUAGGGUGACUGAUAAUUACUUGGUCAUAAAAUGAGUUAGUAAUACGGGUUCAAAUCAAGAAAAAAAAUAGCAUGCUACAGAAAAUAGCACAGCCCUUGAAAAUAUGCUAUAGCGUGUUAUAAUGUGUUUUUAGCGAGACAUUAUACACUAAUUAAUUUAAUGAAAUAAUUCUCUACACACUAUAAUGUUUUAUUUUUUUCAAUGGUUCAAAUGUCUAGGGUGACUGGUAAUUACUUGGUUUUCUUUAAGAUCGAAGUUCAUUUCUCCCUCGUGCGUUCGGACGUGUCCGAGCAUGUGCCCAGCAGGCUCCACAAAAUCCAGCAAUCUGAACAGUAAGGGGUCCCUCAAAUCCAGACCAUGUGUGGAGAAGAAAUAUGGUUGUCCAUACUCUGAACUAUCCGUCGUGUUAUCUACAACAUAUGGUCCCAACACAAAAACCCCACCCCACGACACAUCAUUCUUCUUUUCCUGUCAAAAUCUCCCCUUUUCGCUCGUUUUUUUGUCGUAGCAGGACCUUUUCGUUGAAAGCCUAUCUCCUCCUCCAGACGCACUCAAGCGAGCAUCUGCGUCCAGCUUGGCAUCAUCAACAAGAUAGAAGAUUUCAACGAUGAAGCUCUCCUUGCAUACGUGCAGUUUUUUCGCGAGCCCAUGUCACCGGAGCGUGUGGAAAAAAUCACGGAGAUCGCUGGACUGGCUUCACCCGCAAGCCUGCAACUACCCGAUGAAGAGCUCCAGGCGAUCUUGGGGGAGCUGGCAGGGCGCGUCCCCUGAACGCCGUCCAUGCGGCUGACCACACUGUAGACUGUUUAAUGCCAUGAUAAGUGCAUCAAUGUUUGCUUUCCUUUCCUCCUGGUUUGUGCGCCGUAUGGCUGCCCUGCAUGCUCAGGUAGCAGUCUGUAUCAUGCUGCAGGGGAUAUGCGCAACCCCUGCCUAUCUAAGUGUAGUCUCCUUUGUUUUUCCAUGAAUGAACACCUUUCUGUUUUUAAUUGGAAUGUGAGAGGUCUUAAUGAUGCUGCUAGACGCGCGUCGGUCCGCUCGCUUCUUGACACUUUGGCUUGCUCAAUUGUCUGCUUGCAAGAGUCCAAGCUUGACUCGUUCUCUGAUCAUGAUCGUAAUGAGAUUUUUGGCCGGCGUUUCGAUGAACAUGCGGCGCUCAAUGCGGUAGGCACGCGAGGAGGAGUCCUUUUGGGCUGGAGAACUGACCGCUACGUGGCUUCAGACAUCCAUGUGGGAGAAUUUUUUUAUCACCGCGAGGUUCUCACCGGUGGACAGGGGUCAGCCGUGGUCCUUGACCACGGUAUAUGGCCCACACGAUGAUUCACGGAAACAAGCCUUUCUCAGCCAACUCGCGAUCAUUCAUAAUAUGAUGCAAGGACCCUGGUGUAUUAUUGGUGAUUUCAACAUGAUUAAUGACCCCAGAGACAAGAACAAUGACAGGAUUUGUCGGCGUUGGAUGAAUCAUUUUCAGCGAGCACUUAAUAGGUCUGCGCUACACGAGCUGCCCUUGAUAGGACGCAAAUACACAUGGAGUAAUGAGCAGGCUGUUCCUACACUUGUUCGCCUGGACCGAGCUUUCCACAAUGUGGAAUGGGAGAUGUGGUUUCCAACAGCAAAACUGCUGCCGCAAGCGUCAUCUGUCUCUGACCAUUGCCCGCUGUUGUUGAUUGAUGAGAAUGUCAUCCACAUUAACAGGCGUUUUCGCUAUGAGAGCUACUGGCAGUACAUUCGUGGAUUCCAAGAGGUGGUUAAACAAGCAUGGACAGUUUCAACCGGCGACUCCUCCUCAAUUACUAGGCUUAGCAUCAAGCUAUGGAGGACCAGCAAGGCACUUAGAGUGUGGAGUAAAACCUUUGUGGGUGACGUACAAAAAUAAAUGCUAAUAGUCAAUGAGAUGGUGCUGCAGCUUGAUGGGGCCCAGGAGAUUAGAGACCUAUCACUACAAGAAAAGGAGUUGCGUACUAAGCUGAAAUCAAGAACAAUGGGACUGGCUGUUCUGCUCAAAAUCAAGAGACGUCAACGAAGCAGAGUGACAUGGCUCAAGGCUGGAGAUGCGAAUACUAAGUUCUUCCAUAGGAAGGCAAAUGCGCGCCGCAGGCGCAACACCAUCCAUGUCCUACAUGAUAGUGCGGGUGCAACAUCUGCAACAUCCACCUGCGCUAUGACUGAGCUGGCAAAACGACACUUCUCGACCUUUUUUGGUACUGCGGAUAAACUGACCUCAGCUAUUAAUUGGGACGGGCUAGGGUUCGAGCAGACGGACCUGACUGACCUUGAGGGAGAAUUCACCUUACAAGAGGUAAAAGCUGCCAUUGACGCUAUUCCACAAGAUAAGGCGCCGGGUCCAGAUGGGUUCUCAGGUGGUUUUUACAAGGCCUGCUGGAACAUCAUCAAGUUCGACCUGUUGGCGGCACUGAAGCAGCUAUACCACAUGGACAGUACCGGUUUAAACCGAAUUAAUAAGGCCAUCCUUGUCCUCAUCCCAAAGAAGAAUGGCGCUGAUAACCUCCAUGACUUUCGGCCAAUCUCCUUGAUUCAUAGCAUAGUCAAGAUUUUCACCAAGAUCCUUGCAAGUAGGCUCGCCCCUAAGCUGAACUCGCUGGUUGAUCACUGCCAAAGCGCGUUCAUAAAAAAUCGCAGCAUCCAGGAAAAUUAUCUGUAUGUACAAAACACGGCCCGGUAUCUCCAUAAACACAAGAGACCGACCGUGCUGCUGAAGCUUGACAUAGCCAAAGCAUUUGACUCCGUCUCAUGGGCUUAUAUACUCGAUAUGCUUGAGGCACGCGGUUUUAGUCAAAGGUGGCACGAAUGGAUAGCAAUGCUUCUCAGAACUUCCACCUCGCAAGUGUUGAUUAACGGCUCAGUAUCUGAUUGCAUCCAGCAUGGAAAAGGACUGCGGCAAGGGGACCCAUUAUCCCCAUUUCUUUUCAUUCUUGCCAUGGACCCCUUACAAUGGAUUUUGCGGUUAGCAACAGAGACACAACUCCUAUCAGUAAUUCCAGGCCGCAGGCAGCUGAUGAGAUGUGCAUUCUACGCUGAUGAUGUGGCGCUCUUUAUGCGGCCUUCAUUGUCCGAUGCACAAAUGAUAAAUUGUUGCUUGACUUCUUUGGAAAUGUCUCAGGGCUUCGCACAAACAUGGCCAAAAGCUCAGCCUUACCCAUCAACUGUGAAGGGCUAAACCUGGCCGCCAUCUUACGUCCUCUUGGCAUUCCUUUGAAGACAUUUCCAUGUGUGUACCUCGGCAUGCCGCUAUCGCUAAACCGUCUUCGCAAGGUUGAUUGGGACCUAUGGCUACAUAAAUUUGCUAACAAGACAGCGGAUUGGAAAGGGAGAUUGAUGGCCAAAAGUGGGCGCCUGGUACUGCUUAAUGCAGCCUUGUCAUCUCUGGCCAUUUACAUGAUGACGUCUCACAAACUACCGGCUUGGGUUCUUAAACGCCUAGUUCAAAUAUGUCGAGCCUGGCUAUGGAGUGGAGAGGGCGCGUGCAAUGGAGGCAAAUGCAGAGUUAAUUGGUCUGCCCUAGCACGCCCUAAAACCUUGGGUAGCUUAGGGGUUCUCGACCUGGAAAAAUUUGGCACGGCCCUUCGGAUUAGAUGGCUAUGGAUGGCCUGGAAGGAUCAGACUAGACCAUGGGUUGGCCUAGAACUGCCUUAUGAUGCCUCGGACCGUGCCCUUUUUUAGAUGGCCACGACUAUCACCAUACAAGAUGGCUGCACCGCGCGGUUUUGGCAUGACAGAUGGCUACAAGGCAUGUGUCCAAAAACAAUGGCGCCGGACCUUUACAAGAUCUCAAUUAGGAAAAACCGCACAGUGAAAGAAGCAUUAACUGCUGAAAAAUGGCUGACGGACUUGGCACACGGGCUGACAGAAACGAUGGUACCUCAGCUGGCCUGGCUGGCGGCAUGUCUCGAACAGAUUGAACUCACUCCCGAUAGGCCAGACACUGUAGAAUGGCGUUACAACUCCGAUAAAAGAUAUAGUGCAAAAUCCACCUACCUGCUGCAAUUCAAUGGCUCGACAACCAUGGAAGGAGCAAAAUAUAUCUGGACGGGCUGGGCACCGGGCAAAUGCAGAUUCUUUUUAUGGACAGCCGCAUUGGGGAAAAUACUAACGGCAGACGUGUUGUUGCGGCGAGGAUGGGAGAACAAUUAUUUCUGCCCUCUAUGCCAGAGAAAUCUGGAGACCGCUUUCCACCUUCUCGUGGAGUGCUCUUGGACCCGGAAAACCUGGGAUGCAAUCGCAACCUCAACUGACCUACCAUCACUGAGACCAAUCUCAUGGAUGGGAUUGAACAAUAUCAAAGGAUGGAUGCAUAACUGUUGGCAAAAUGCACCCACAACACGAAGGAAAGGAACUCAGUCGCUCCUACAUCUAAUAUCCUGGGAGAUCUGGCGCGAACGAAAUAGGCGGCUGUUCGAUCACAAAAGGAUGGACACUGAAACAUUGGUGAGAAGAAUUAGGGAUGAAAUUAGAGUCUGGAACAUGGCAGGAGCAGGGAUUCCGUUUGAUCUGGCUGAAUUCUGUUUUUUUUCAGCCGUGAGUUUUUUGCUUCUUUUCUCCUUUCUUUCCUUUCUAGCCCCUCUUUUUCGUUUGGUGGCUGGCCCUUCCAGGCCUUCUCUUGUAUUGUCUUGCCCCUUACUGAUCAAUUGAUUUGGUAGAUCUCCUACCAACAUUCAAAAAAGAAACUGAAUGACGCCCACUUUAUAUUCGCCAUGGUGCCCUCUCUCCUUCACACUGCAUUUUCUCACGAACCGCAAAGAGGAGUUUCCUGCCAACCACCCCGCUCACUUCCUUGAUCCCCUCCCCCCUUGUACAGUUGGAUGUGCAUGAGGCCGUGGUCGUUGGUGCCCAUGCCGACGCGUGGUACAAGGUAGGGCGCCGUCCGCAAGGCCAGCAGGAGAACGAGAGACGGCAUCAGAAUUCAGAACGUGCAGCAACUGAUAUUUCAGCUGAGGUGUACAACGUAACUGCCGAUGGAUUCAGCUUGGUCAUAAUGCUAUGCCAUGUAGGCUUUAUCGGCCAGCCGACGUACUGUGUGUGAGUAUGACCUGCAAGCUAACGAUGGGUCAAUAGCUCCUAUGCGACAUUUUUGAGGUGAAUUGAAGGAGUGGGACGUCUUUCGUCCGAAUUGCCUUGGUGCGAUACUUCUGAGCGAGGAAAUAUCCCAAACACGACAUGGCCUUUAAUCUGAACUGAUGUCCUCAUUAGCUGUUAGGGUUGGACCCACAACUUAUCCACGUAAGCGCGGGCCCUACUUGGCAGUACAUCUAUUUACGGGCCCCACUUGUCAGUGCAUCAGGUGAAACGUGUCUUAGAGGCUGGACCCACAACUUAUCCACGUAAGCGCGGGCCCUACUUGUCAGUGCAUCAGGUGAAACGUGUCACCGUGCCUGUCCGAAUGGGUACCCCUGUCUGAAAUGUGUUGCUCCCUCUUCUUCUUUCCCGACGGUGAGUUGCCGCCGGCGGCGGACCUUUUGUUCUGGGUGACAGCAGCGGCGAAGCUUUCGUUUUCGGCGACGGCGGCGGCUGUGGUGAGUGAAUCCGGAACCCUGUCCUGUUCUCCUUCAUGUUGAGUUAGAUCUCACCGCAUCGCCUCUGUUUUCCUCUGUUUUUGGUCGAUUUGAUCCAGAUUGCUGGUGCGAACGAGUACAUCAUUUGGCAGGUCAUCCGGCCAGAGCUCAGAAGAAACCUGUAGGGUAGCACCAAAAGCAGCCACAGUAUGCGCAAGAUCAUUACAAGCCGUGGGGGCAAAAGAGAACGAGCAAGCAUUAAAAUUCUGACGAGCAAAGACUCUGAUUUCUCUGAACAAGAUGCCUUCUGGUGCCUUGUCUAAUUCUGAGCUUUGUAGCGCUUUGACGAGCGUUGUCUAAUUCUGAGCUUUGUAGCGCUUUGACGAGCGUCUGGCAGUCUGACUCCACUUGCACGUACCAAAGUUCUCCAUUGGUUCCGAAGUCUGAAAGAAUGCAUCGAUAUAUAAUACAGUUGUUUUGUUCUGUACCAAAGUUCAGACACUUGUUGAAGAUCUUGUUUUAAUAGCAUCGUACCUUCUUCUUCCAACACUUGUUUAAGAUCUUCCUCAUGCUCAGAUCGAGGUAAUUUGAUUAUACGUCGGAUCUCCGUGCAAAGUCAAAUCAAAUUUGUGGUUGUUUUGCAUACUAGCCGCACAAACACAAUCUCUAUAGAAUACAUAUCUUAAAAAUGCCUUAACCAAGCCACACUUGUCUACCAAUUUUGCAUACGUAGUUUGAAGCUCUGUCUACAAAUGUGUUCUAUUGGUUCAAGUCUGAAGCUCUGUCUGCAAUGCAUACAGCGGAGUGCAUGCGGUGAGCACAAGCAAGUCCAGCCGACAGACUCAAGCAAUUCCUCCGCGUCCCCUCACUCUUGUCGCAUGGAAUGGAAUUGAUGUCCUUGAGCCCUCCCCCUCUUCUUUGGCAUGUCUACGGACUCCUCGGCGGCGUCCGCCAAUGGCGUCCUUCCCCUCGUCCGCGACCUUGUCCACGACAACGUUGCACUCUCUGGUAGCGCUUAAGCUUGUCGACGGUCUGGUGUUGGGGUAGCCGAAGAGUGCGACAAUUCCUCAGUUAACACAAUGCAACAAUUCUUGAGUUAAUCGACGGGGAGGAGCGUAACGUUUCGGUGGAGUUGGGCCGACCAAUGAAAGUGCAGCACGUGGAUCGCUGACGUAGCCCUACUUCCUAAUUCAAACCGUCCAUUCAGGACGAUCCAAUGGUCCGGACAGGUGCGGGGUUUUGAGACGUUUUCAAGGGUUAGGAUUGAACAUAACUAAUUCAAAAAAAAUCAAAAAAUAGAAAACUGGUGCCAAUCAUCGUUCUGUGUGGCUAAAUUGAUAGGAAAAAUAAGAAACCUGGACUAUGGAGUUUUUCAUGAAAAAACCUUCACAAACUUGGCUAUCACGAACAAGGUUGUAGGUUUUUCAAAGGUUAGGGUUGAGCAUAAGUAAUUCAAAAAAAAUAAAAAAUAAAAGAAAACUGGGGCCAAUCAUCGUUCUAUGUGACUAACUCGAUAGAAAAAAUAAGAAAUCUAGACUAUGAAGUUUUUAAUGAAAAAACCUUCAUAAACUUAGCUAUCACGAACGAGGCUGUAGGAUUUUCAAAGGUUAGAGUUGAACAUAAGUAAUUCAAAAAAAUAUAAAACUGGUGUCAAUCAAUUUGAGUUGUUACUAUAUGAAAAAGUAAGAACAUGUGUACUGGUUUUCCAAUAUUUUGAUUAUUUUUUUUUACAUUUUUAUGCUCAUUUCAAACUUGGUCAAACAUAAGUUUGACCAACAUUUAAACAAGUUUCAAACAUGAAAAUGACAAAUCAAGCCUAGAUCCUUCUUGGUCACUGCAAAAUGAAGCUUUUGUGAGGUUUUUGAAAGUUUGAAGUCCAACACCCAAAACCACUUGUCUUCACACAUGAGUUUCAAAUUAGCUCAAAAGGAGAUAAAUACCACAUUUCUAAGCAAGUUUUUUUGUCCACCAUGUGUAAAACAGCCAAAUCAAUUUGAGUUGUUAGUAUAUGACGAAGUAAGAACAAGUGCAUUGGUUUUCUAUUUUUUUAUGCUCAUUUCAAACUUGGUCAAACCUAAGUUCAACCAUCAUUUAAAUGAGUUUCAAACAUAAAAAUGACAAACCAAGCUUGGAUCCUUCUUAGUCACUGCAAAAUGAAGCUUUUGUGGGGUUUCUGAAAGCUUGAAGUUCAACACCCAAAAUCACUUGUCUUCACACAUGAGUUUCAAUUAGCUCCAAAGGGGGUAAAUACCCCAUUUCUAAGCAAGUUUUUUUGUCCACCAUGUCUAAAACAGCCAAAUCAAUUUGAGUUGUUAGUAUAUGAUAAAGUAAGAACAUGUGCACUGGUUUUCCAAAAACAAUUUAAAAAUUUAUGCUCAUUUGAAACUUGGUCAAACCUAUUUUUGACCAACAUUUAAACAAGUUUCAAACAUGAAAAUGACAAACCAAGCAUGGAUCCUUCUUAGUCACUCCAAAAUGAAGCUUUUGUGAGAUUUUUGAAAGUUUGAAGUUCAACACCCAAAACCACUUGUCUUCACACAUAAGUUUUAAAUUAGCUUCAAAGGGGGUAAAUACCUCAUUUCUAAGCAAGUUUUUUUCCACCAUGUCUAAAACAGCCAAAUCAAUUUGAGUUGUUAGUAUAUGACAAAGUAAGAACAUGUGCACCGGUUUUCCAAAUUUUUUUAAUUUAUGCUCAUUUCAAACUUGGUCAAACCUACUUUAGUCAUACUGACGUGGGGGGCUGACAGGUCAAUCUGACCCAUGGGCCAGGGAAGUCACCUCAGUGUGGCACCCUAGUUACUUAUACGGUGAAAUGUGUCAUACCCUAGCUAUUUACACAUCCAGAUCUGCGUUACUCUCGCCGCUGACGACCAUCAAAACCAUGCAAUCCAGCCCCGUCACCGUAGAUCAAGCGCUGUCGUGCGGCAAUCAUGAGGCCCGGAUCUUCCAGCUCACAAGGCGGCCAUUGCGGCAGCGGAAACCGCUCCGACAAGAGGAAUGGGGUGAAGCGGCCGGCGCCCGACUCUGACCCCGAACGGGCGGCGCGGGUUGCUUCCGACGCUGCUCGGAAGCGCGGCUCGCGCAAGUACACGAACUGGGGGCUCGUGCCGCCGCGUGCGUUCGCUCGGCGCUCGGUGGAGGAGUACGACCGCCAGAUGGUGGCGCCGCCGCGAGGUAGCUCCUCUACUGCAGCUGGCGCGGGGAGCUCCGCCAUUGCACCCGCACCGCUGCCGCCUCCGAAGAGGGAGGGGGAGGAGAAGGGCUUGGCACUGCGCCCCGGGUGCCUCGGCUUUCUACCGGGAGACUACGCCGACGACGACGACCUCGAUGGCGUCAUCGCCGAGAUUAUGGAGCGCACCAAGGACGAGCCCCAGCAGCUUGUCGCACGUCGGCAGAUGGAAGAGGAGCUCGACGAGUUCCGCCUCCGCCAAGCCAUCGAGAAAUCCCGCCCCGACUCCGACUCCGACUGACCGGCGUCGCCGCCUCGUCGGGGCCGCACCCCUAGGGUUCAGGUGAGCCCAAUUUUGGAGAUAUAACUAGGGGUAGGAGCUUUAUGUAAUCGAAGUACUCCGUGUGGCUUUUGCUCCGACGAGCCCGCCAUUAGAACUGGGUGUAAACGAACCACUACUACUCCGUGUGUAAUCGAACCACUAUGUUUGCUAAAAUGUAUCUAUGUUGUUUGAAUUCGAUCGAUUUCGGUUGAAUGCUUGUAAAUUUGCUAUUCUGAAUCGAAGCUCGCCGGCGUUGCCGUGCUUCGUCGCUGGAGAAGAAGAAGAGGGAGGAUGCGCGCGCAGGGGAAAACUGUUUAACCGUAGUCGCCGCCAUCUGGGUCCCAUGUCGACGUGGAUAAGCUCUGGGUCCCGCCCGGUUCCACCUAAUCCUGACAGAGAUUGUGCUUAAGGGUCAUGUCGUGCCUGGGCUAUUUGUGCUCACAGAGAUGUCGCAACAGAGCCAUUCUUGCGAACGAUGUCGCUUUGCAGUCAAUUUGCAGAAAAACGUCGCACAAGAGCUAUUGACCCUCUAACAAUAGACCUGAAUGCCCGUAUAUGUAGCUGUCAUAACUAACUAAUUAAUUAGGACAUUCAUUUUACUAGUAUAUAGUUUCAAAAAAUAUCAUUCUUUAGCUUUCUAAGCAUGGUUAUGAUCUACUGCUCUGACUAUCUGGUUGACCACCUUUGCAACCAUCAUGAAGUUAGUAUUUUAUUUAGAUGUUGGAGUAUUUUUAUUAUUGAUUUUAAUUAUUUUAUCGAAUGAAGAUUUCAUUUAUUUGUUUGAAUGAAGAUCCACAGUACGAAACUGUUUUGAAUCAUGAGAGUGGCAAAUAUCCGCGGAGAAGAUAUAGGAAGACCAACCGGAUGAUGAUUCUAGGAAAAUAAAUCCAACUUUUUGGGUCUGGCCCCGUCUCCAUUCCUUUGAAAUAAAAUAGAAAAUACAUAUCCAAUAAAUCAUAUUCAGUUGUGUUCCAGUGAUGAGCCCAUACGCGGCAGCACACUUCCUGUUCGUAACAGCACACUGAAGCCCAGCCAGCUGAGAAGGUCAGCAAGCUUUAGGUGUUGUCAGAGAAGGGAUGAGCAAGAUUGGACUUUACAAUGAGCUUGUUUGGGAUUCUACUCGGGUCCAAACAAUGCCCGGUUAAUUGAGAAGGGCUUCUUGGAAGUGUUUUUGCCAAGCCAAGUAGCCAACAUGAACCAUGAUGUAUUCUCUUGGCCUACAGCCGGUGAGAAGGGGAUGACGCUGGCUGAGCUGUGAGAAUGCACUCGGUGGACAGAUAUUUCACAUCCCUUCAUGACAGAAAUCUGCGUGCUAUCAUGUUGGUAUCCUCCAAUCUCUCACACAACCAGACAUUGUAGACAUGCUAGUACUACUGAAUGAUAAUAUAUGGUCGAGAAUAAGUAACCAAGCAAAAAUAUUGGUUGCUAUCUAUAUUAGCAAGCUCAUUGACACACACACUCAGAUAGGAAUGGGAACUCUGGUGCAUAUGUGCAUGAUAUAUAUAUUCUUGCAACAAGAAAUGGCACAUGCAUAUAAGCAUGAGUACAUGGGAACUCUGGUGCAUAUGUGCAUGAUAUAUAUAUUCUUGCAACAAGAAAUGGCACAUGCAUAUAAGCAUGAGUACAUGGGAACUCUGGUGCAUAUGUGCAUGAUAAUUAAAGUCUAACGUGUGUGAGCAACUGAGCACAUCAC
rnacentral:lncRNA from 1 species